UGGCUUUCUCUGACUGGUACCAA
rnacentral:piRNA from 1 species